rnacentral:ncRNA from 1 species
AAAGACAAAGAUAAAAACGCAACGUGCAUUAUUUAUGUACCAGAGCCGGUAGGUAGCCCGGCCGUCUCAUUUUUGAAGUGAGGUAAGUAACCUGCCCCUCCGGGUUGUCCAUUCUUUGUCCAAAAGCU